rnacentral:rRNA from 1 species
UAAAGAUUCAUCGCUGAUAGAUAGGCAUGCGUUCCAUUAGGCAGUUGGCGGGGUAACGGCCCACCAAACCGACGAUGGAUAGGGGUUCUGAGAGGAAGGUCCCCCACAUUGGUACUGAGACACGGACCAAACUCCUACGGGAGGCAGCAGUGAGGAAUAUUGGUCAAUGGGCGCGAGCCUGAACCAGCCAAGUCGCGUGAGGGAUGAAGGUUCUAUGGAUCGUAAACCUCUUUUAUAAGGGAAUAAAGUGUGGGACGUGUCCUAUUUUGUAUGUACCUUAUGAAUAAGGAUCGGCUAACUCCGUGCCAGCAGCCGCGGUAAUACGGAGGAUCCGAGCGUUAUCCGGAUUUAUUGGGUUUAAAGGGUGCGUAGGCGGCCUUUUAAGUCAGCGGUGAAAGUCUGUGGCUCAACCAUAGAAUUGCCGUUGAAACUGGGGGGCUUGAGUAUGUUUGAGGCAGGCGGAAUGCGUGGUGUAGCGGUGAAAUGCUUAGAUAUCACGCAGAACCCCGAUUGCGAAGGCAGCCUGCCAAGCCAUGACUGACGCUGAUGCACGAAAGCGUGGGGAUCAAACAGGAUUAGAUACCCUGGUAGUCCACGCAGUAAACGAUGAUCACUAGCUGUUUGCGAU